GAGUCCAUACAUAUGACAUAUUGCAUCUCAGAUCUCGGAAUCAACAGGGCGCGGUCUUCAAAAUAGUACGAAGCAUUGAUAGCUAAUCUUCAGUCAACGUUGAUAGAAAAUCGAAACGGUUGUCCGACGUGCCGAUCUUCCUUCCUGGUGCCGUUCGUCGUUGACCGUGAACAUGACUAAAGCCAAUACAACAAUGAGUACAAUUCAAGGCACCACAGCAAAGCGAGAGGAAGGGAUGCUCGAAUCGAACGAUCGUAGACCAACUCAUUGUCAGAGGAGAAGACUGCGGCCAGCCCUGCGGCGAUGAUGGUUGUACUGAAGGAAGAACUGCCGCUUCUGCUUCAACUUGAAGAUUUGAUUGCAAAAUUCGAUGUUUACACCUUCGCAGAGGCUCAUCAAUCAAAGCGUGGAUUCAUAUCGAUCACAAAACACAUAUUAUGGUCAGAUUAUCACAUCUGAUGAGAUUUAUCAAUCAGACUGUUCAAUUUAUCGCUAAUUUUACACUCUGACAAGCAGAAAAAUUAUGAUAUGCUAUAGCUCUUAGCAGUAGUUCAAUCAGAUCGACUGGUCCUGUUUCUAAAGUCGAACUGCAUAAAAAUAAAAGUGCAAAGUAUUUGGAAUUUGACCAUGAAGGGUUCCAAAUUAUAUUAUUUAUGAUUGUCUUAUUUAUUUUGGGUACAAGAAUCAAAUUUGACGAACGAAUUUUUAAAUUUGUAGCGAAUUUUUCAUUUUGGAAAGCAAAGAAAUUGUUAUCCUUAAGGUGCAAUUUCAUGGUGAUGUUUGAAGCAGAUUUUUAGCGAUUUAUGUGCGAUGCUAAGUGAACUCGGUAGUAAUAGCGUUCUUAGUAAAUGAUAUAUGAAUAGCAUAAUUUUAGAUACGAAGCUAUGUACAGAGAUAUGGAAUUCGAAGCGGUAGUAAUAUUGAUAAAAAUUUAUUGGCUAAUUAUGAUUAGUUUCAUCACAUGUGCUUUGCUAAAAUAAAUAAAUAAAGGAAUAACACAUUCUAACCACA